rnacentral:lncRNA from 1 species
GAUUUUCAUAUUCAUAAUUAAGGGGAAGUAAUAGAGAAAUAAUGUAAUAGUGUUUAAAAUUUCUCAUUCAGAUGAACGUUUUACAUUCAAGGUAUGAUAACAACAAAAGUGGAAAUCUUCUAAAGGUUAGAAAAUAGAAACUAAUUUGAUACAAAAAUUGGUCAGAUAUCUAUGUCAAUCUUCUAAUAUCUGCAUGGAGCUACUUCAAUUCAAGUUAGAAGUGAUAUCUAAGAAAACUUCUUCUUUGCAAGGAAUAGUGAGACCCCCCAUUGGAUGGUCAUAUUCAAAUUGUUCCUCAGCUUGGUUCAACAAUUCUUGGAAUGAUUUUUGCUUCAAAUAUGAUAUAGGGAUCACAAAUCUCUUCAUGUCCUUUCCUACAUACACAGCUAGAUAUCCCUUUGGAACGCCCACAGAUUUUGAAGAUGAUGACCUUUUGAUGAUACUAGGUAAACGAAAACCCAUUGUUGUAUGUGUUGAAAAUAAGAGAUUGGUCUAAAAUAGACAGACUUGUAUAUAGAAAAGACUCAAGUUUUUUAACUUCAAAUGAGUUGGAAUGUGAAUGAUUUGUGUUGGUGCUAAAUGCUUGCAGCCAUGAAUAUAUAUAGAUGAACGGAUACUUAACAAACCGUCGGCAACUAUAAUGAUCAGUGAAGGAGGACCAUAGGAUUAGAGUUAUGUUCAGACAACAGCAUAUGAAACGUCACAUGGUGUUGUCUUCAGAAUUUAGAGGACUUUCUCAAAGAUCAACAUCAAAUGUUGUGGUAGGUAGAUAAUGCAAGUCCCACCUUGUUGAGUAGAGGCCAGCAUAUAAUUAAUCAACUUGAAAGUAUAACCACAAACAUGUAGAGUGGUUUAUGGAUCUAUUGCUAUCUAUUGCCUUGUAUAGUUUAGCAUCUGGACAUCAACACUAUCAUAAUAGAAAGAACAUGUCUAAGCAUGAUUUCACAGUUAUGAAGAAGUAAUUAAUGCAUGAACAGAUAUAAGGCUGCUCUGCACUUGAGAAAGUCUCAAUUGGUUCCAAGUGGAAGCUUUGUGUUGGCCAUUGUUUGAGAAGGUGGGGUACAAUCUUAAGACAACGCCACAUGCUAUAUUAUCUUAUGCUCUCUAACCUUUAACUCUUUCAAAUAAUAAUUUAGCUUUGAAUCGAAUUUUCAGAUAAACUCAAUGACUAUAAAUAUACGCACAUAAAAUGGGUUUCCAAUAGCCUGUUCUUCUAAGUGUUAGUUACAUGGCAUCCCACUACAGUCUAGUUGUCCGCACACACCACAUCAAAAUGGUGUUUCCAAGUGGAAACAUCGUCAUCUACUCGUACCUUAUUGAUUAAUGCUCAUGCACUUUGAAAACAUUGAGGUGAUGUUGUUCUCACAACAUCUUAUUUGAUCAAGUGUAUGCCAUUCUCGGUAUUGGAUAAUGAGAUUCCACAUUCUCUCUUGUUUUAUAAGCCCCCGCUGUAUUUUGUACUUUUACGAGUGUUUGGAUCCACUUCUCUUGUUCAUGUUCUAUCUCCUGGCUGUGAAAAAUUGUUUACAGGAGAUAUCAAGUGUGUGUUUCAGGGGUACUGCAGAGUUCAAAAGGGGGAUCAAUGUUAUUGUCUAUUUACACGUCAUUUUUAUGUUUCGACAGAUGUUACUUUCUUUGAUGAUACACCUUACUUUGUGACACCAGGUACAUCAGAUUCUAAAACAUAUAUAUGUUAGUAAUCAUGUGGUACAUAUUCCUCUAUUUGAAUGAUCUAUCUCUACUCACAGACCUCCAUAGUCACAUAGUCAUCCCGAGUUUAAGUGUUAUUGUACUACUAAUCAACGUCAAUGUGUUGAUGCUCAAGAGACAGUUCCUACCUCUUCCGGUGAUUUAGAUUUUGUUCAUAUUACUUCUAACCGUCAUUAUAUAUAUAACUUUUUGAGUUAUCAUCGCUUGCCUCCAUCGAUCUCACUAUGUUUUUGUCUCUAUUAUAUCCGCUAUCUCUAUUCAUAAGUUCAUCCAGAAAGUAAUAUCACAUCCAGGAUGGCGACAAGCAAUAAUUGUUGAAAUGAAUGCAUUGGAGUCUGUGUACAUGGAAGUUUGUUCCAUUACCUCCUCGAAAAUCUAUUUUGGUUGUCAGUGGGUCUUUGCUAUUAAAGUAUGUUAUCAUGAACAAAUGGAUCAUACAAAAGGUCAAUUGGUAGCAAAAGUAUACCCUCAAAUUUAUGGUUUGGACUAUAUUGGUACCUUGCAAAAAUGGUUUAUGCUCGUCUUUCUUUGUUAGUGGCUGCUAUCAAACAUUUACCUUUGUAUCUUAUUUCAUGAAGUCUUAGAAGAGGCGAUGUAUAUGCAGUAGCCACCUGGCUUUAUUGCUUAGGGUGAUUUUGGUCUUGUUUACAAGUUAGAAAAAUCAUUGUACGGUCUAAAGCAAUCAGCUUGAACUUACUUUUGAAAAUUCAGCAAGCUUAUUCAAUAAUUUGGCAGGAUUCAUUGUGAAGCUGGUCAUUCUGUAUUAUUUAGACAUUCAUCUUCAAACAAAGUCAUUUAUUGAGUGGUAUAUGUGGAUGAUAUUUUUAUUACCGAUAAUGAUUAAGAAGACAUUAAAAACAUAAAAAAUAAUUUAUUCAACCACUUUCAAACCAAUUAUUUAAGCCAAUUGCGUUUUUUUUUUUGGGAAUGAAGUAACACAAACACAUGAAGCUACUGCUAUUUCUUAGAGAAAAUAUGUUCUUGAUAUCUUGGGAGAAACAUGGAUGCUCGAUUGUAAACCAGUUGCUACUCCUUUGGACCAUAAUGUGAAGCUUUUACAAAAUCAUGGAGAGUGGUAUCCUGAUCCAGACAGAUACAGGAGGCUAGUUGUGAAACUGAAUUAUCUCACUAUUCUUGUCUCUCCUCCUCUCACUUAUUUGCUUGUCUCUCUUUUUUCUGACUUACUUGCUUCUGUAUAUGCAGGAAGAAUUCAUUUAGCAAAGAAUUGAAUUAAUGCAAUAUAUCAUGUUUUUUCUGUUUCUAAGGGCUUGUUGUUCUUGUUUCUUUGUAGCUCAUCAUAGCAUGUUUUGCGGAGGUUUUAUGUUGCAGAUGUAAAUUUAGGUUUUGUACUUGCUAAUUUAGUAAAGCUGUGUCAAUAAUAACGUUGCAAAUCCAAAAUCUGUGAAUAAGAAUUUCAUUAUUGACAUAAAUGCUAAUCCAAUUUUAUAAAUUAAAAAUCGGCCAAAUCAAUCUUGGCUCAUCCGUAGUUUAACGGUUUAACCAGACUGCAAGAUAAUUGAAGUCAAACCAGCCGAUGAACUGGUCAUUUCCUAGUUCUAAGAAUGUUGAGGUAGUAUAUACCAACUUAUUUAAAAAACAAAUGUAAGGGUUCUACAAAUAUAGGUUGGUUCUUCAAGUGACAACAAAAUGCUACUACAAAUGAAAACAGACAAGCUUUUUCCAAACUAAAACAGAAAAUAAACAAAAGUGAUCCAUGUCACAAAUAAGCAUACUGAUUCUUCUAGACCAACUUGUAGUAACAAUUGUUUGCACAGAUUAGAACCUCAUAUCCCUUGCCACAUGGACACUUGAAAGUAAGGCUUAAACACUUAUCAACCCACUCCACACUAACAGCUUCUUCAUAAUCAUUUCCCAAUUCAUCCUACAAAAACAAAAAUGAACUGUUCAGCAUAAAAACUAUUAAUCUGAAAGUCAUGUUUAUAGUUUUAACUUGUUGUCGCCAAAACUACAUCGCAAUUGCAGCCGCUUUUUAGAGGAUUUUGAGGUCUCUACAAGGGCGUCACAAACACAAUUUUAGUCACAUCGGCCGCAUUUCCCCACAAUGUAAAGGUUCACAUCGUGACCACAAGUGCGACUGCAAUCGCAAUUUAAAACAAUGAUUACAAGUGCAACUAUGAUCACAUCAACAAUUUAUUAUGCUUCUUAGCCAAACCCCCAGAUCCUACAUAUUUAAGUGGAACAAAAGGUGGCUACACUACACAUGAAGUUGUAAUGAGGCCAAAAGUUUAGGUAGUGUUAUGGCUAUAAACAUUCAAACACGGGAAUAAAGGUGGCUACACUACACAUGAAACUAUAAUUGAAUAUGUCAUCUUCAUUCUUCAGUAUGUUCCUGUCUUAAAAUUUAGCAUUUUUACCCUUCGAUAUAAAACCUCUAACUCUAACAUAUUGCCCACAAAAUUCUUGAAAAGAAGAGUGUUUAUUCUUACCUAGAUUCGGUAAAUUAAAAACCAAAGGAAAAAUGCAGUGGAGGGAAGCACAUCACACAGUUGAUCAAAUAAUUUUUUUACUUCAGAUAUGUAUAUGUCGAUAAGGGAAAGUCCAGAUCCUAUAUAAUUGAGUUGUUAAAAUUGCUGCACAUAAACUAUGAUUACAAAUGCAACUAUGAUCAAAUUCAAUACCUUCCCGUAACCCCCGGAUUCUUCGUAAUUAAGCAAGUGCAACUAGGAUAUACAUAAAAAUAAGAAAUAACUUGUAAGUACCAAUUAAAGAACCAACUACAUUGAAGAUUACAUAGAAAAGACAAUCACAGUUGAAGAUUCAAGACAUGUACCUGCGAUAUGACUUUUUCAUCUUCAGCAACAAAAGAGUCAAGAGAGUGCUCUUCUUGUUCUUGUUCUUUUUCAUCCUUUUCAUCUUCAGCAUCAGGAGAGGGCUCUUCUUCUUGUUGUUCUUUUUCAUUUUCUUCCUCGACUUCCAUAACUUCAUCCCACACUUUCUUCAUUUCUUUUAACCGAUCCUUCAUCCUUUUAAGCCUCUACGAAAAACAAACAAAACCCAUUAUUCCAAAUCAAAAAAAGAGUACUUUUUUAUCAAGAAACACAAGUUUCAACACAUACCAUUGAAUCAGAUUCAGGGGUGGUUUUUUUAGCAGAGUUCAAAUAACGAGCUACUGCUUCUUUAACCUCAAAAGGAUCAAUAACUUCAGAUAUACAUCUGCUGAUCGGAGGCUGAGGCUGCAAAGCAGUUGACGGCCCUUUUACCGGCAUGGAUUGAUCCGGCAAGGUGCAAGGAUCAGAGACACAGCGGCUAAGAGCAUUCCCGCGGAGACUGAAAGGAAGUGUAAUGGCAGAGAAGCCAUUACGGGUGAGAUUGCUUGCGUCAAAAGAAUGCUUCUUGGAUGAUGGUUGGUGGGCAGAUGAUGAUGAUGGUGAACGGCGUUUGACAGAGUUGUUGUGAGUGUGAUGAUGAAGCAUUGAUGAUGUUGGAAUAAUCAUGGAUUGUUUCUGUUUGUGAGGGAUCAACAUGGAUUCUUGUUGAAUCUGUAAAUCACCCAUUCUUCUGAAUUGUUUUCUUUUUUGAUUGUAAAGUAAGUGUGAGUGGCAAAGAGUUAUGAAAAAAGAGGGAUGGUUUGAGUAUACAUACAUACAUAUAUAUAUAUAUAUAUAUAUAGGAGAUGGUAUAUGAUGAUCUGUUGAGGUUUUCAAGGGUAACUGAUUUUCUGUCUUCAAAAUCAAAUCAAAAUGUUUAAAAGAAAAUAAGUUUUACAUAAUUUGUAUUUGAGAGAUACAAACCAAAAUGGAUUUCUGGCUGGUCAUGACAUUUUUUAUUAUAUACACCCUGAGUCUGGAAAUCAAUUUUACAGGGGUGGACUUAUUGUUGAGAAAAAAAUGAUCAUAAGAUGCGAAAAUCUCAACAAAUUAUACUUAGUUAUUUAAGCCUGUUGAAAUGAGAUAAUUGCUACUACUGUCUCUCUGAAUACUAGCUAGCAUAAUUAGGGUCAUUGUUCAUCCAGUUUUGCAAAUUCGAGGUAGCUAACUAAAAUGCUCGCACGAAUUCAAUAACUAUUGAUGAUCUAGCCAAAUUGAUAAGGCUCGGCCUAUGUUUUCAGAAAUUGCAUUAGCAGUGAUUAUAUAUUCAUUAAGAGCUGUUUUGGUUAAAUUUUUCACAUAUACUCAAAAAUGAAAAGUUGAACAUGAUUACCUUAACUAAUAUCUUAUCUCCCAAGAAGAAAUAAGCUUCUAUACUUCCAAUUUUUUCAGAUCUCUCUAACUCAGUUUAUAGGUAAAAACAUCCAGAACUUACUGGUAACACCAUCAGAGUUCAGAUAUUUCUUUCUCAUACAAGUUUAUUCACAUCAGUAUUUCAUUUAUAGUGUGCAGAACAAUAAAAAAAAAAAAAAGGGUAAUAUAUAUAACAAAAGAAGAGAGGACUCAAACAGAGGACUCAAUAAUUCAUGCUAUUUUUUAGAGUUAGGAAACAGUAAAAAAAUUCAAGAGUGCUUGGAUGAUAUGCCAUGAGUACUUAGAUAAGAUGUCCCAAGUAUCUUCCUAUCUAAAUAGAGGUUUCCGGUUCUAACUAUGUGAAUGCAACAACGUUAAAAUGUUCAGGGAGAGUUUUGCCGUGGUUUUAUUGGACUCGACAAUUGAGAAACGUGAUUUGUAAAAACAGAAGUAGUAGAUGGUAAAAUAUAGUCCUAUGUUUAUAAAUUGAGAUUAUAGAUUUUUUACAGCAAAAUUGAAAUUUGCCUUUCUUUUUUGAGAACAAAAUUGUUUAGACAUUUCACAACAAAAGAAAAAAAAUAUAUUAUCAAAGAAUUUGACUAUAAAAUGUAGAGGUAACUAUUUUUAACUCAUUUUUUUUAUUAAAAAAAAAAACAUAAUUUGAUAAAUUAAAUAAUUGUUAAUAUGAUUUGAGAAACCAUGUUUUUGCUAUCUAAAUUCUAUCCAAUAAUUCUGUGUUCUCUGCAGAUAUUUUUUCCGCAAUAUAUACUUCAAUUAUUAUUGUUAAAUCAAUAUAGUUUACUUUUUAAUUUCCAUUUUUUGCAUUAGGGGAGGAUUGAUUUUAUAAUUGAACAACUGAAUCUUCCAUUAUAUCCUCUAGAGAUUCUAAACUGAACAUUUAACAAAUAUAGAUGCAUCGAUUCUUAGAAUGGCAUGUAAGAAAAACACAGUAAUAAUGUGUUAAUAAACUUCUCAUUGAGGUGAACAUAUUUACAAGCAAAUAUGAUAACAACAAAAGAUAAAAUCUUUUGAAGGUGAGAAACUAAACUGCUACAAAACUGGGUCAAAUAUCUAUGUCAUGUCCUAUGAUAUCUUCAAAGAGCUAAUUCAAUUCAAGUGAGAAGUAAUAUCUAAGAAAAUGUCUUCUUUGCAAGGAAUAGUUAGACCACCCAUUGGAUGGUCAUAUUCAAAUUGUUCCUCGGCUUCGCUCAACAAUUCUUGGAAUGAAGUUUGGUUCAAAUAUGAUACAGGAAUCACAAACCGCUUCAUUUUCUCUCCUACGUACACUGCUAGAUAGCCCUUUGGAACGUCCACAGCUUUUGAAGAUGAUGCCCUUGAUCUGAUGAUACUACGUAAACGAAAACCCAUUGUUGUAUGUAUGAGUUAAAAGGAGAAGAUUGGUCUAAAAAGAAAGAGUUGUGUAUAGAAGACUCAAGUUUCUGAACUUCAACUGACUUGGGAUGUGAAUGAUUUUUUGUUGGUGCUAAAUGCUUGAUGCCAUGUUUAUAUAUAGAUGAAAGGAUAUGUUACAAACAGUCGACAACUACAAUGGUCAAUGAAGGAGGACCAUGAGAAUUUAAUCAUGGCCAGACAAGAGCAUAUGAAAGAUCACAUGGUGUUGUCUCUAAAUGAAUGGAUAUACUUCAAAUGGUGUAGUAGAUAGAUAAUGCAUAAUUCUUGUGCAAAAGCAUCAUAUAAUUGAUAGACUUGAAAGUACAAACCACAGACAUGUAGAAUGGUUUAUGUUGAUCAAUUGUUAUCCAUAGCCAUGUAGACACUUACCAGCUGGACAUCAGCAUUAUCAUAAUGAAGAAAACAUGUCUGAAGCAUGUUUACGAAAUUAUGAAGGAAACCAAUUAAAUCAUGAAGAAAUAUGACGUUGCACUUGAGCACAUCUCAUUUGGUAGCAAUUGGAAGCUUUGUAUUGGAUAUUGUUUAAGAAGGUAGGGUACACUCUAAGACAACACCACAUGCUACCUUAUCCCUAUGAUCUAUAUCCUUCAACCCCUUCAAUAAUAGUUUUUCUUGAAAUUUGGGUUUGAGAGAACUUUAAAAUCUAUAUAUAAACUUCCUCUCUCCUUCACAAACAGAAAAACUCAUUGCAUUAUCAAAUAUUUAGUUACAUCCUUCAUACAUUUGAGAUUUUUUCUCUGUUCUUCUCUCAAACUAUAACAAAAAAUGGGUUUCCGUUUACACACUAUUCUAAAGGGUUCAGUAACGUCUAGUCAAGCAAAAUCAAAAUCUGUAGAAGUGAGAAAGGGCUACGUUGCAGUGUAUGUUGGAGAGAAACUGACGCGGUUCAUAGUUCCUGUAUCAUAUUUGAACCAACCUUCAUUUCAAGACUUGUUGAAUCAAGCUGAGGAAGAGUUUGGAUAUGAUCAUCCAAUGGGUGGCCUCACCAUUCCGUGCACCGAAGAUGUCUUCCAACAUAUAACUUCAUGCUUGAAUGGCCCUUGAACCUUACACUUUAACAUACUGAAAUAGCUAGAUUAGUUGAGACAUUUUUUUUGUAACAGGCGUCUUUUUGACUUGUAAAUAUAUUACCCUUUUCAUGGGAAAUGGAGAAACAUUACUAUCUGAACAACAAAUUCAGAAAAAUUAUCAAAAUUUUUAGUUAGUUCUUUAAGCCUAUUGAAAUGAGACAAUAUGUUACUUUUAUUUCUCAAAAUACUAGCAAAAUUAGUUUCAUUGUUAAAAUCCAGCUAAACAUCUUUAAGUAACAAAACCAUUUUUGCUAAUUCAGGUAGCUCUAUAAAAUUAUUGAACUAAAUCAAUAUCUAUUGAUUUUUUAACCAUUAGUCACCCAUUAAUUAUAUCUUAAGAGCUACUUUGGUUAAAUUUUUUCACAUAUAUACUAACAUAAGAGUUGAACUUGAUUAUUUAACUAAUAUCUUAUCUCCAAAGUAGAAAUCAGCUCCUACGCUUCAAUUUUUUCAGAAGUUUUCUCUCUUAGUUUAUUGGUAAAACCUUUAAAUUUAUAGAAGUUUUUCUUAACUUACAAGCUUAAUAAUCAUUUCAACUCGUAUUAGCUAGAAGAUCAUUCAAACAUGCCUGCUACAUCUUAUGAUUCUUUAGUCUUGCACUCUUCUAGUUUUCUGUCACACCUUGUACUCCCAAAACAGAAAAUCACAAACUUCUAUUGCUUCAGUUUAACGUUAAUCUGUAGGGAACAGGCCCUCUUAACCUUCUUAUAUUUGGUAUUGUUGCAAUUUCUUAUUAUGAAAGUGUCUCAUGUGUUUCUUUUAGUAUAAGGAAUCGGUAAUAGAUCUAUAAUAUUAGUUUUCAAACAAUUGUACAUUUGUGCCGUUACUGUUUGAAAGGAAUGACGCUCUCAAAAGAAAGUUGUAAAGUCAUAUCUAUAAUGUAUUUACCAGAAGCAACAUGAACAGGUUGUAUAUUAACCUGAGAAUUAAUUGUGGGGUGCUUAAUAAACCACAAGUUUUUUAAUCUGCAUUCUUAUCCAAUAAUUACAUUCUUCUAUGCUGGAUUAUUUUUUGCAAUAUAUACUUUGUUUAUGAUCGUUAAGCCAUACUAGUUACUUUUAACUUUCGAUAUUUUUGCAACAGAGGAAAUCUAUUUUAUAUUCGUCUAGAGAUUCUAAACUGAACAUCUAGCAGAUAUGCUUUGAUUUUCAGAUUUAUAUUUAAGGGAAAAUAUAGAGAAGUAAUGAUGUUAUAAAUUUCUCAUUGAGGUGAACUUUUUCAUAAACAAGUAUCAUAACAACAAAAGAUAAAUCUUCUAAAGGUGAGAAACUAAACUGCUACAAAAAUGGGUCAAAUAUCUACGUCAAUCUUAUGGUAUCUUCCGAGAGCCAAUUCAAUUCAAACGAGAAGUGAUCUCUAAGAAAACGUCUUCUCUGCAAGGAAUAGUGAGACCACCCGUUGGAUGAUCAUAUUCAAAUUGUUCCUCAGCUUGGCUCAACAAUUCUUGGAAUGAGGUUUGGUUCAAGUAUGAUACAGGAAUCACAAACCGCUUCAUUUUCUCUCCAACAUACACUGCUAGAUAUCCCUUUGGAACAUCGACACCUUUUGAAGAUGAUGCCCUUUUGAUGAUACUAGGUAAACGAAAACCCAUUGUUGUAUGUAUGUGUUGAAAAGGAGAGAUUGGUCUAAAAAAGAAAGACUUGUAU